rnacentral:misc_RNA from 1 species
ACUUCUCUCUUUCGUCGUCUGAUCAUUAAGCCUCUCUUUAAUAUACAUAUAUAUAUAUGUUUCUCUUCUCAACAGUCCUGAUAAUCAUGUUUAUGGUAUAGUCAACUUCUCUCUUUCGUCGUCUGAUCAUUAAACCUCUCUUCUCCGUUGAAAGGAGAGGAAAUAAAGGGGGAAAAAUGCAUUCAGGGAAUAACUGGGGAGGAUCUUUUGAGAUAAUCAAUGGUGCAGAAUCGACAACAGAGGAUGAGAGGAGCCGGAACAUGGAAUGGGACAGGGGAGCCCUUCAUUCUCAACAGCACUACCAUAAUCUGGACGAGACACAACAGAGCUGGUUACUCUACCCACAAGAGACCAAGAAGAAAAAGUAUGUGGACUUGGGUUGUAUAGUUUGCAGCACCAAGGCUUUCAAGUGGACUCUAUAUUCCCUUCUCAUUGCCUUUGUGGUCAUUGCACUUCCCACCAUCAUCGCCAAGACUUUGCCCAAGCACAAGUCUCAUCCUCCUCCUCCUGACAAUUACACUAUUGCCCUCCACAAGGCCCUCCUAUUUUUCAAUGCCCAGAAAUCUGGUAAAUUGCCCAAGAAUAAUGGCAUACCCUGGAGAGGGG